GGCAUGUUUCGCGGCAUUACUUAUAGUUAUUAUAGAAUGGAAAGUGCCGCUAGCUGUUGAGAAAAUAAUUACUUUCACUUAAUAAAUUAUUAAAGUUGUACCUGGCGUUACUCAGGAAUUUCUGGCGCAUCAUUUGUAGAAGAACAUUAGUUUCUGGUUUGCAAGAUUUUUGAUGAGCUACAAAUGUUUUAUAUCUACAAAUGGUAUUCUACUUGAAAGCAAAGCUAAUAAAAAACAUUCGGGUGCGAUCACGAUAUCAUAAUGACGUCUAUAUCAUGAUAUUUGUGAUCUCACGCAUUGAUGUUUUAUGAAGUCAUCCGUUACUAUGUCAUACGUCUAAACAUUUGUUACUCAAUGCUACGUCAUAAUGACGUUCUGGAACUUCAUCCGUUGUUAUAUUGUACAACAGAAUUUUUUUUUAUAUUACUAAAUGCACUUCAUAAUAACGCUACUCGUUGUGUUUCGUUUAUUACGUUAUUCAUUGCAAAGUUGCGAUUACAUUACGCUUGUGAGAUUAUGACGUCAUAUAGAUUUCAAACUUCGCAACAACAGCAGUCUAAAGGAUUUAAACACGCAUUUUAAAUUAAAGUCCUAAUAUGCUACAUCGUCUAUCAUUUACCAUUGCCGUUAACAUAGUGCCUCCAGUAAAGGAGCACAUUAUUAGUUUUCCGAAAUAUACAAGUCACUGUUCCCGACAUGAAAAUUCACACAGAGUGUAUCUCAAUGCUGAUUUAACUACGCGAAAAAUGUAGGAGUUGUAUCGUCAGAAUUGUGACGCAGAAGAUGCACCAUUAUACCCUAAAGACCGUGUCAUCGCUGAACUGAUCAAAAAAGACAUCGUAUCCUUAUUUCAAUUCAUUCCAUCCAUUUACAAGUUUUUCAACAACUUUCCAACAGCAACUCUCCGCAAGCCAACAACAAACAAACCGAUGAUGACAUUGAUUACAAGUAAUGAUUACCAUUAUUGUUAUUGGCUGUGGUUGUUAUUUUAUGAAUAAAAAUAAAAACAUUGAAAAAAAUCAAUGAUAUUGUAUUCUAUUGAUUUAUGUCAUCGCAGGGAAACAACUUUUGAUGCAAUGGCCUGUA
rnacentral:lncRNA from 1 species